GCCGGUACCAGCCCUUCCCACAGGGACUGCGACUCCUCGCCCGCUGCUGCUGAGUGAGGGCAGCGACAGCUAAACAAAAGGAAACCAGUAUCACUCAUCAAAGUUGAACAGAAACCUCUCCUAAACCCACCUCAGGAGAUUCUGACAGCAGUUUCCUGUUCUUCCAAAGAAUACUGUAGCUCCAAAGUGACACUGAGGAUGUUCUGAAGGCCAACGAUCUGACCCAAGAUUCAAAAACACUUAGAAGGAAAACAGGAAUUUUCACCACUGGACUUUACUUUUUGGGAUGCCACUAUGAGCAACUACUUGCACUGGAGGUCCAGUGUUGGCAAAAAAAAAAAAAAGCCAGUGAAGACAAAACACUGAAAGGAAAAGUACUGACAGUGCUACACCAUCAUUUGCUGGUCCCAUGUGUUACAUCUGCAUUGUGUGCAGCAAAACCUGGUGCUCUGGGAUUUAAUACAAAUUUUGCAUGACUUAUCUGAGGUUCACUCAGAUGAAGCAAACUGCAUGAAGUCACAGGAGCACUUUGGUAGCAGAAUCUGAAAGAGUACAUCAGCACUGUCUGUGAGCGCACUGCCAAAACCACGGGAAUGCACACAUAAUAAAAGAGCAACUUGAAUAAAUAUCUGGAAGCUGAUACACUCUGUAAGCUCAGGAAUUAAAAUAAUAUUCAGAGUGA